ACUGAACGCUGGCGGCAGGCUUAACACAUGCAAGUCGAGCGGAGUGAUGGUGCUUGCACUAUCACUUAGCGGCGGACGGGUGAGUAAUGCUUAGGAAUCUGCCUAUUAGUGGGGGACAACAUCUCGAAAGGGAUGCUAAUACCGCAUACGUCCUACGGGAGAAAGCAGGGGAUCACUUGUGACCUUGCGCUAAUAGAUGAGCAUAAGUCGGAUUAGCUAGUUGGUGGGGUAAAGGCCUACCAAGGCGACGAUCUGUAGCGGGUCUGAGAGGAUGAUCCGCCACACUGGGACUGAGACACGGCCCAGACUCCUACGGGAGGCAGCAGUGGGGAAUAUUGGACAAUGGGGGGAACCCUGAUCCAGCCAUGCCGCGCGUAUGAAGAAGGCCUUAUGGUUGUAAAGCACUUUAAGCGAGGAGGAGGCUCUUUUGGUUAAUACCCAAGAUGAGUGGACGUUACUCGCAGAAUAAGCACCGGCUAACUCUGUGCCAGCCGCCGCGGUAA
rnacentral:rRNA from 1 species